rnacentral:rRNA from 1 species
UACGGAGGGAGCUAGCGUUGUUCGGAAUUACUGGGCGUAAAGCGCACGUAGGCGGCUUUGUAAGUUAGAGGUGAAAGCCUGGGGCUCAACCCCAGAAUUGCCUUUAAGACUGCAUCGCUUGAAUCCAGGAGAGGUGAGUGGAAUUCCGAGUGUAGAGGUGAAAUUCGUAGAUAUUCGGAAGAACACCAGUGGCGAAGGCGGCUCACUGGACUGGUAUUGACGCUGAGGUGCGAAAGCGUGGGGAGCAAACAGGG